rnacentral:rRNA from 1 species
GCCCAUAGGAUUGAACCGUGCUUUGCAGAUACAUAGCUCUAAGAGUCGAGUUGUUUGGGAUUGCAGCUCAAAAUGGGUGGUAGACUCCAUCUAAAGCUAAAUAUCGGGGAGAGACCGAUAGCGAACAAGUACCGUGAGGGAAAGAUGAAAAGCACUUUGGAAAGAGAGUUAAAAGUACGUGAAAUUGUCGAAAGGGAAGCGCUUGAAGUCAGCCAUGCCGCUCAAGACUCAGCCUGGCUUUUGCUUGGUGUAUUUCCUGGGUAGCAAGUCAACAUUGGUUUGGAUCGUCCGAAAAGCAUAGUCGGAAUGUGGCGCCCUCGGGCGUGUUAUAGCCUUCUAUUGGAUACGACGAUCUAGACCAAGGAACGCAGCGCGCCUUAUGGCGGGUCUUCGGACACCUUCUCACUUAUGAUGCUGGCGUAAUAAAA